rnacentral:tRNA from 1 species
UCGCGGAUGGGGCGGCCAACCCCUACCUGCUCCAGGCGGGUAUCCUCGCCGCCGGUCUCGACGGCAUCCGUGAGC